GAUGAACGCUAGCUACAGGCUUAACACAUGCAAGUCGCGGGGCAGCAUGGGGGUUGCUUGCAAUCCCCGAUGGCGACCGGCGCACGGGUGAGUAACGCGUAUCCAACCUGCCCUUCACCACGGGAUAACCCGGCGAAAGUCGGACUAAUACCGUAUGUUGUCCAUUGACGGCAUCCGAUUUGGACGAAAGGCUUGGCGGUGAGGGAUGGGGAUGCGUCCGAUUAGCCAGACGGCGGGGUAACGGCCCACCGUGGCUACGAUCGGUAGGGGUUCUGAGAGGAAGGUCCCCCACACUGGAACUGGGACACGGUCCAGACUCCUACGGGAGGCAGCAGUGAGGAAUAUGGGUCAAUGGGCGUAAGCCUGAACCAGCCAAGUAGCGUGCAGGAUGACGGCCCUAUGGGUUGUAAACUGCUUUUAUGCGGGGAUAAAGUGGCCCACGUGUGGGCUUUUGCAGGUACCGCAUGAAUAAGGACCGGCUAAUUCCGUG
rnacentral:rRNA from 1 species